rnacentral:rRNA from 1 species
UCAGAGGUCUCAAGCGUUGUUCGGAUUCAUUGGGCGUAAGGGUGCGUAGGUGGCGCCCGUAAGUCGGGUGUGAAAUUUCGGAGCUUAACUCCGAAACUGCAUUCGAUACUGCGGUGCUUGAGGACUGGAGAGGAGACUGGAAUUCAUGGUGUAGCAGUGAAAUGCGUAGAGAUCAUGAGGAAGACCAGUGGCGAAGGCGGGUCUCUGGACAGUUCCUGACACUGAGCACGAGGCCAGGGGAGCAAACGGG